CGUACACUCCUGCGGGAGGCAGCAGUGGGGAAUUUUGGACAAUGGGCGCAAGCCUGAUCCAGCCAUGCCGCGUGCGGGAAGAAGGCCUUCGGGUUGUAAACCGCUUUUGUCAGGGAAGAAAAGGUUCUGGCUAAUACCUGGGACUCAUGACGGUACCUGAAGAAUAAGCACCGGCUAACUACGUGCCAGCAGCCGCGGUAAUACGUAGGGUGCAAGCGUUAAUCGGAAUUACUGGGCGUAAAGCGUGCGCAGGCGGUUAUGCAAGACAGAGGUGAAAUCCCCGGGCUCAACCUGGGAACUGCCUGUGUGACUGCAUGGCUAGAGUACGGUAGAGGGGGAUGGAAUUCCGCGUGUAGCAGUGAAAUGCGUAGAUAUGCGGAGGAACACCGAUGGCGAAGGCAAUCCCCUGGACCUGUACUGACGCUCAUGCACGAAAGCGUGGGGAGCAAACAGGAUUAGAAACCCUAGUAGUCCC
rnacentral:rRNA from 1 species